rnacentral:lncRNA from 1 species
ACUUACCAUUUUAAUAAGUAAAAAAAUAACCUUACAUGCAAUGUUUCCGUACAUGUACUUCAAAUGUACUUUGAGGGCCAGCUGGCUGAGGACCACCUCCGGGUGUGGGAUUUUCUCGCUAUGUUGAAGACCCAUUGGUGGCAAUCAGCUUUUGUCUGCUCUUUGGUCGGGUUUUUGUUGCUUUGAAAUAUUCCCCAUUUUCAUUCUCUGUUUUAUUGCUUUAUAUAAAAAACCAGUAUGGUUCAUACAUCUAAAUUUUUUUUUUUUCAUCCUCAACAAGCUUCAUUUGUAUGCAUAGGAGUCAUAGUUUUCAGUAGAU